rnacentral:lncRNA from 1 species
GGAUGAUCCUACGGACUUUGUUGUAUCUAGUUUAACGAGUAGUUGUAUCUAGUUUAACGAGUAGCUCGUUUCCUGAAGGGGGGGGGGGACAAAGCUAUUCGACCUUAAGCGAGAUCUUCCAACCCUACUACGUUAUAAGCUACUAGUUUAACUACGUUGUAGUACUACACAAGCUAGGUUGUUCACUACUUACAGCUCGUCNCCUUCGGGGAAGCGCUGUUAAAAUAGUAUCUCAUGUUCACGCUGUGUGGUAGCAAUAACUCACAGCGCAAUGCCUGUGUGGUAAGGCCUAGUUUCUUAAGUUCCUUACGUUAGAAAACUUAGUUACAACGUAUUUGUAAAGUAAGCCAUUCUGCAUGGAUAAGCUACUUUGUUUAUUUUUAACCAAUUUUUGUGCUAAUAGAACUAUUUUUGUGAAGUCGUUUAUGGUUUAUUUACCUCAAGCGCAAAGUGCCCCCAAUAUUUGUUACCUUGUUUAAAGCGCUCUUGAGAAAUGAACUCCUACUUUGUUUCGCCUCCAGCUGCUCUGUAGUUACAUUGUAACCUCGCAAUGAACGGUGGCUUAACUACGUAAAUCUACUUCGCUAUAAGUCAGGUUACUUUGGUGCUGUGCACCUACUUUCCUGUGGCCGCAAGCCUAUUUUUUAUAGUGCCGUGCAGUCAAAAAUAGGCCUCUAGCUAUGUGGAAAUGGGUGCAUAGCACAUGCUAGGCUGCACAGCCGUAAGUCUAUUUGCGACACGGCAUGAGCCUAGUUGUAGGCUAUCCGCGACAAAGGCUAGUUUCGCCCCAUCAAGCGCUUUUGUCAUAAACAAUGCUACUAUACUUUUCAUGCGCUAUAGAUAAGUUUUUGAGCGUGUCGUAAACGGUCUAGGCCUAAAACAUGUGCAAUGACAAGAGCUCUUGAAUGAUGUAUAAACGUAGUUCUAGUUAUUGGUAAAGCGAACGCGUUACUCAUAACGAUGAACACCGUUAGUCCAACGGACUUCUUUCCCCGAAGGGUAUGCCAACGGCUUACCUUUAAACAACCAAGUUGUAUAAACAAACUCGUUGGCUGUCUUCUUCGUCUUCCCCUUUAGUUCCCCUUUAGGGGAUGCUCCCCUUGUCAUCAGUCAUCCCCUUUAGUUCAUCUAGUUCAUCCCCUAAAGGGGAACUAAAGGGGAACCCCUUUAGUUCCCCUUUAGGGGAUGAAUAACAAAAAGNGG